rnacentral:misc_RNA from 1 species
GAAAUGCGAUACGUAAUGCGAAUUGCAGAAUUCAGUGAAUCAUCAAAUCUUUGAACGCAAAUUGCGCUUUCUGGAUAGGCCAGGGAGCAUGCCUCUUUGAGCAUCGUUUUCACCUCUGCUCGACUGCGCUCUUUCGAGAGCCGCGUGUCGGAAAAUGAGUUUUGUCUCAUUCGUUAAUGAAUGAGUCACUUGAAAUGCGGUGAGUUUUCUAUCAACCACUCAGCGGUCGUUUGAUUGCUUUCGGUGGUGCUAUGGAUAAAUUUUAUUCAAUGGCGCCAUUUCGAUUUAAUUGAACGCUAUGACUGCCGAGUCACCGAUAGACUCAGUGGAAAUUAAACGGGAAAAUGAUAAAAAGUUUUCCUAUUUUGAAUGAGAUCUCAAAUGAAGCAAGAGUACCCGC